ACGCGGCGCAUUAAUUCGCGCAUUAACGUAUCGUCGCGGACGCGGGACGAUGACGAGUGUGCCGCGCCGCCGAACACGAAACUGUGAAUUUCGGGGAGAACGCGUGGUAUCGGAACAAAGGAAGCGAAUUCCCAGGCUCACUGUGCGCGGCGCAGCUUCCACCAGCGUUUCUCGCGCUGUAAAAGGAAACUUCUGUUCUCGUGGAAACGAACGCCAGAUUUUGGAGUUUCCGGUUUCAAUGGUUAACGUUCGGACGGGCCUGGGAGUUUUGUUGGUAUAUACAACGAUACUCUCACACACGCACGUGCAUACAUAGGGACAAUAAAUAAAGGUACAAGCCCGAGCUUUAUAAAUGCAGGUACAGCAUUCGGCAGGUACAGCUUCUCGAGGAAACGGGUAUACAUUUAGGACACUCAUUUACCUGGAAUUUACUUGAAGGAAUAGUAUAAAAGGACUGCACGUUCCAGUGCGAGAUACUA